rnacentral:lncRNA from 10 species
ACUGCUGGGAAACAGGCAGUGAGUGGAAGCAGCAGCAGCUCUGGAGAUUACAUAGAGCCAAGAUUUAAGUGCCACUUUGCUGCUCUUCCAGUAAACAAGACAGAUAACCAACUCAUGAGUUGCUCCAUUUUGCAUUUCUACCAGCAAUGUGACUACUCUCCCCUACCUUCAUCAACACAAGCCAUGCAGCCACCGCAGCAGGUGAUGCCUGGAUUCUGCUGCAUCCAGGCUGCAGAUGCCUGAUACCUGACACCCUCGGAACUGACGUCUGCACUGAGAGCACAUCUCCCAACUGCAGAGCCCAGGUGAUGGUGCUGCUGCCAGCAGAAGUGCUGAUGGGCCAAGCUCCUACAAAGCUUUCUUGGUCUUCUGGAGCCUUCAGUGUGUUGAAGCCACACCAAAGCAGAAGGCGCUUUCUCAUUAGUGGAAUAGUAUGUUAAUUGGACACCAAAGCUAUGCCAUAAAAUCAUCAACACUGUAUAAUUGUUGCUAUUGAAAUGCUUAUGGUUCAUUAUUAAACAUGCUCUUAUU